GACGAACGCUGGCGGCGUGCUUAACACAUGCAAGUCGAACGGAAAGGCCCUGCUUUUGUGGGGUGCUCGAGUGGCGAACGGGUGAGUAACACGUGAGUAACCUGCCCUUGACUUUGGGAUAACUUCAGGGAACUGGGGGUAAUACCGGAUAGGAGCUCCUGCUGCAUGGUGGGGGUUGGAAAGUUUCGGCGGUUGGGGAUGGACUCGCGGCUUAUCAGCUUGUUGGUGGGGUAGUGGCUUACCAAGGCUUUGACGGGUAGCCGGCCUGAGAGGGUGACCGGCCACAUUGGGACUGAGAUACGGCCCAGACUCCUACGGGAGGCAGCAGUGGGGAAUAUUGCACAAUGGGCGGAAGCCUGAUGCAGCAACGCCGCGUGCGGGAUGACGGCCUUCGGGUUGUAAACCGCUUUCGCCUGUGACGAAGCGUGAGUGACGGUAAUGGGUAAAGAAGCACCGGCUAACUACGUG
rnacentral:rRNA from 1 species